GCGACAUGCUAGAGCUCCAAUAGAUGUUGAGACUACCACUGACUGAAGAUCGAGUGACGGUUGGUGACUGGGUCCAGAAGCAUCAUGAGCACCUUUUGUAUGCCUAUAAAAGAGCAGGAGAGACUCGGCAGAUUGCAAUCUGGUUGAGAGACAGGAACAGCAAGGAUGGCCGUGAACCGGAGAUUGUGGUGUCUGUGUUAAGAAAACUAACCCAUUGACUGUAGAGCGGCCAACCUGCUUUUGUGCAGUUCCUGUACAUGUGCUCUAUUGAGGUCUGCUGCCGCUGUCAUAUGCAUUUCCUCUCUCUCUGUCUCUGUUUUUUUCAUAUUUGGGAAGGCUUCUCCCCAUUGUGAGCUUGUUGUAAACCUUUGUUUUUGCUUUGUGUUUUGUUUAAAUCUUUUUACCAAGACCCAGACCUGGGAUGCAUAUUAAAACAUAGCUGUAGUCUAUGUAUACUUCUUUUUAAAAUAACGUAUUGUUUUUAAACGGUAUGUAGUUAGCAGGCAUUAUCUUGCCAUUUGUUCAGCCUAGAGGUAUUGACUGGUACUGCAGCCCUGCCAGUUUCACAGGUUCACUUUCAUUUAUUUAUUUUUUUGGUUUAUUUUAUUAAGUGUGUAUUUUCAUUAUUAAUUUUAGGAUCAUUUCUAUGUGUGCAUUUUGGGUUUUAUUCAUAGUUAAGUGUGUAUUAUUUUAUGUAUAUUAGGUAUUUAAGUAGUAUGCUGUUUUCACAAAGUUAAUCUUUUUUGUAGUUAUUUUGUGUGUUAUGGUUUACCCUUUGGGUUGAGCAGAGCUGUGUCACCAGCCACCCAUUCUUUCCUGGUACAGCUGCGAC